GAAAUGCGAUAAGUAGUGUGAAUUGCAGAAUUCAGUGAAUCAUCGAAUCUUUGAACGCACAUUGCGCCCCUCGGUAUUCCGUGGGGCAUGCCUGUUCGAGCGUCAUCUACACCCUCAAGCUCUGCUUGGUGUUGGGCGUCUGUCCCACCUCCGCGCGCGGACUCGCCCCAAAUGCAUUGGCAGCGGUUCCUUGCCCCCCUCUUUGCGCAGCACAUUGCCAUUCGAGGCGGCGGCGGCCCGCGUCCAACAAGCUCAACCCCCCCGUCUUUGACCUCGGAUCAGGUAGGGAUACCCGCUGAACUUAAGC
rnacentral:misc_RNA from 1 species